GUGGGGAAUCUUGCACAAUGGGGGCAACCCUGAUGCAGCGACGCCGCGUGAGCGAUGAAGCCCUUCGGGGUGUAAAGCUCUUUCGGCAGGAACGAUAAUGACGGUACCUGCAAAAGAAGCUGCGGCUAACUACGUGCCAGCAGCCGCGGUAAUACGUAGGCAGCAAGCGUUGUUCGGAGUUACUGGGCGUAAAGAGUGCGUAGGCGGUCCUUUAAGUUCGGUGUGAAAUCUCCCGGCUCAACUGGGAGGGUGCGCCGGAAACUGGAGGGCUCGAGUAUGGGAGAGGAAAGCGGAAUUCCUGGUGUAGCGGUGAAAUGCGUAGAUAUCAGGAGGAACACCUGCGGUGUAGACGGCUUUCUGGACCAUGACUGACGCUGAGGCACGAAAGCGUGGGGAGCAAACAGGAUUAGAAACCCGAGUAGUCC
rnacentral:rRNA from 1 species